rnacentral:rRNA from 1 species
CCGGGUGAGUAACACGUGACUAACCUACCCUCGAGUGUGGAAUAACAUCGGGAAACCGAUGCUAAUACCGCAUAACAUCUCAAGAUCAAAGGAGCAAUCCGCUUGAGGAGGGGGUCGCGGCUGAUUAGCUAGUUGGCGGGGUAACGGCCCACCAAGGCGAAGAUCGGUAGCCGGUCUGAGAGGGCGCACGGCCACACUGGAACUGAAACACGGUCCAGACUCCUACGGGAGGCAGCAGUGGGGAAUUUUGCGCAAUGGGGGAAACCCUGACGCAGCAACGCCGCGUGGAGGAUGAAGCCCCUUGGGGCGUAAACUCCUUUCGACCAAGACGAUGAUGACGGUACUGGUGGAAGAAGCACCGGCUAACUCUGUGCCAGCAGCCGCGG